CUUUAAUCAUGUUGGAAAGGUCACACGUGAUGUAGGCGGAAGUACCACGACUGAGCAUCAAACUUGACUGACAUACCUGGCUUGAAUGUUUUGUGGGAUGAUACUCCAUGCGAGGUCAUCAUCGCUGUCAUAACGCCGGGGGUUGUCAAAGAAAUAAGCUCUAGAUGAGAACAUGUGCCCGGGGAUCACUGCUGCACUCUGAAAACCAGAGAGAUGAGAGGUGCCAGCACCACUAAGUUGUAGCACGCACGGGACGAGUACAGCAGGAUCACUGUCACUCCGAUUACAGUCACCUGACACACAGAUGUUCCCUAGACAGACGAGAUGAGACGUGACAUUCAGAUCUGACUCAAUUCUGGUAGAUGUUGGCCAAAGACAUCUUGGCGAUCUUGUAGAGACACAGUGAGAGUGAGACGGCACAGAGGACAAACAGAGUGUCGUUGAUGGCCACACGCACCAGCACUACAGUCUCUGUGUCGGCCUUUGUCAUCUUCACCAGCAGCGCACAGGUCAGGUUCACCAGCAGGAAGAUGAUGCUGAUGCACAGGAACAGCAGAGAGAGAGAGAACUUCACUGAGCAUGUGCUGAAUAAGUGCAGUGUUAUUUUAGUAUUAAUUAUAUUGUAACAUGUAUGUUCUGUUUUGUUCUGUUUUGUUAUCAUGGUGUUUUGGUUUCCCUGUCUGUGUUCCCUAGUUUCCCUGGUUAUUAAUUAGUUCCCACACCUGUUGCGUUUGACAUUGAUUAUGCUCCUCAUGUAUGAGCCCUGUGUUUCCCUAAUUCCUUUUAUCCGGUAUCAUCUAUGUUAAAAUUGGUUGUGUUUAUGUUUACUCCUUACGAUCUUUUGAGUUUUCUGUCAUGGAUUUAAUAAUGUUUUCUACUCCUUUCAUCAUGCGAUUACUCAAGUGAGUAAGUGAAUUAAUAUUCUUGUAUGCUUGUGUAACCCAAUCCAGUCUUACUGUAGCCUCAGUACAGCCUGAUUACAUCUGUGGUCUAAAGGGUUUGUAACUUUUAAUCAUCUGUCACUGAAUGGACUAACCUCUGGUUUCACCGCAAGCCUCCUGAAGCCGUGAGAACCUUCUCUGUGUCUGCACCUCGACUUGGGACUGUAUUGGUGAAUUAUUGCUUGAAUUAUUGCUCAGUGACAUGCAACUUGGCCCAGAUGUCAGAGGUCAAGCAAAUCAAUCAACAGUGCAGUUAUAAUCACAUUAAGGUCAUGUGAUGUGGUUAUAAUGGGGAAUAAAAUGCAUGUUUUCAAGUUUCAUAUGUCUCAGAUUAUAAUUUUAAUCUAUACUUUGAUUUUGAUGUAAAAGUCAGUAUCACAGAAAUAAUGUGUGGAAUAUCUGAUAUGUAAAAAAUAAAAAUAUUCUUGCAUUAUUGUUUGAAUUUGAGCCACGUAUAUGCUGCUUUGUAAUGCUUAAAAGUUCAUGUAGCAGGAUUAAGAAAAAUAUAUUAUUAAAAACUCUUCCCAUAAAGAGUGCGAACUUGAAUUUAAUUGGCCACAAUUGUAAUGAAAUGACAGGAAGAGGAAUUAAAUAUGUUAAACACAAUCAUACAACAGAGGAAUUGAAUUAGUCCAACACAACAACUAAAAAGUUCCAGAGCAGAUUA